GUUGUCGUGGCCGAGUGGUUAAAUUGAUGGACUAGAAAUCCAUUGGGGUUUCCCCGUGCAGGUUCAAAUCCUGCUGACAAGGACA